GCGGGAGUAGCUCAGUUGGUAGAGCACGAGCUUCCCAAGCUUGAGGUCGCGGGUUCGAGCCCCGUCUCCCGCUCCA
rnacentral:tRNA from 1 species